GAUGAACGCUGGCGGCGUGCCUAAUACAUGCAAGUCGAGCGAACAGACGAGGAGCUUGCUCCUCUGACGUUAGCGGCGGACGGGUGAGUAACACGUGGAUAACCUACCUAUAAGACUGGGAUAACUUCGGGAAACCGGAGCUAAUACCGGAUAAUAUAUUGAACCGCAUGGUUCAAUAGUGAAAGACGGUUUUGCUGUCACUUAUAGAUGGAUCCGCGCCGCAUUAGCUAGUUGGUAAGGUAACGGCUUAUCAAGGCAACGAUGCGUAGCCGACCUGAGAGGGUGAUCGGCCACACUGGAACUGAGACACGGUCCAGACUCCUACGGGAGGCAGCAGUAGGGAAUCUUCCGCAAUGGGCGAAAGCCUGACGGAGCAACGCCGCGUGAGUGAUGAAGGUCUUCGGAUCGUAAAACUCUGUUAUUAGGGAAGAACGAAUGUGUAAGUAACUAUGCACGUCUUGACGGUACCUAAUCAGAAAGCCACGGCUAACUACGUG
rnacentral:rRNA from 1 species